AGAGACGUCCAACAAGUUUCUGUCCAAAUUCUGCAGGAGCACAGACACUCAGCAGAGCCUGACCACACUGAGAGCUGUCAAGUUACAGUCCAACCACCAUCAGACCACACGCAGAGAGUAUCUUUAUUCAUUGACUGGAGGAUAAACUCAGCUGCAUCGAUCCAACAUGUUAGAUUUUUUGUUUGUGAGCAUCUUCUAAAUUUCUACACUCAUAUUAAAA